GACGAACGCUGGCGGCGUGCUUAACACAUGCAAGUCGAACGGAAAGGCCCUGCUUUUGUGGGGUGCUCGAGUGGCGAACGGGUGAGUAACACGUGAGUAACCUGCCCUUGACUUUGGGAUAACUUCAGGAAACUGGGGCUAAUACCGGAUAGGAGCUCCUGCUGCAUGGUGGGGGUUGGAAAGUUUCGGCGGUUGGGGAUGGACUCGCGGCUUAUCAGCUUGUUGGUGGGGUAGUGGCUUACCAAGGCUUUGACGGGUAGCCGGCCUGAGAGGGUGACCGGCCACAUUGGGACUGAGAUACGGCCCAGACUACUACGGGAGGCAGCAGUGGGGAAUAUUGCACAAUGGGAGGAAGCCUGAUGCAGCAACGCCGCGGGCGGGAUGACGGCCUUCGGGUUGUAAACCGCUUUCGCCUGUGACGAAGCGUGAGUGACGGUAAUGGGUAAAGAAGCACCGGCUAACUACGUG
rnacentral:rRNA from 1 species